CCUACGGGUGGCAGCAGUGGGGAAUAUUGCACAAUGGGGGAAACCCUGAUGCAGCGACGCCGCGUGAGUGAAGAAGUAAUUCGUUACGUAAAGCUCUAUCAGCAGGGAAGAAACACUGACCUUACGGUCAGCAGACGGUACCUGAGUAAGAAGCCCCGGCUAACUACGUGCCAGCAGCCGUGGUAAUACGUAGGGGGCAAGCGUUAUCCGGAUUUACGGGGUGUAAAGGGAGCGUAGACGGUGCGCCAAGUCGGGAGUGAAAUGCCGCAGCUUAACUGCGGAACUGCUUUGGAAACUGGCGGACUAGAGUGCGGGAGGGGUGAGCGGAAUGUCUAGUGUAGCGGUGAAAUGCGUAGAUAUUAGGAAGAACACCGGUGGCGAAGGCGGCUUACUGGACCGUAACUGACGUUGAGGCUCGAAAGCGUGGGGAGCAAACAGGAUUAGAUACCCUUGUAGUC
rnacentral:rRNA from 1 species